rnacentral:lncRNA from 1 species
UUUUAUUGUUAUUUUAAUUAUUUUAUUUUCUCAAAAGACAAAAACAUGUGAGUGUUGAAAAGCUAGAAAUACACACAGCCUGAGAAAAACCACAAAAAGAACAUCACAUGUCUCUGCCUGAAGUGCUGAUUCUUUGAUUGGACAAGUUGUAGUUCCUGUUUUUUACAUUCAGGGACUCAAUGGGAGUGUUCAUGUGAAAAGUUCAAAUCAACGAGUCCGGGGUUGCCCUGCAGAUUCACUUUCAAUUAAAACUGUAUUCAAACACAGAUCAGAGCAGAGCUUGCAACACUCCAGAGAAAGUUCAAAGUGGAGGAAAGGGAUUAAGCAUGUAUUAUAUAAUGAAAGGCUUCUUUAAAAGAAAUUAAGCUUUUCAAUGUGGGAAAUCUGUCACUUGGUCUGUAAAUAUAUCUAGAUAUGAGUGACUAAGUCGCUUUCAGUGACCUAUCAAGCAGGACCAUAUGUUACAUGCUGUGGGGGGAAAACGCAGCUUAAGGCAAAUCCUGCUUUAUCCAUAGCAUUACAGGCUCUAAGAAAGGAUUUAGUCUUUAAAUCUUGAUUAGAUAGAAUUUCCCUCUAGGACUAAAGCAGAAUACUAUUACUAAGCAGAGAUAACCCAGCAAGAGGAGAGGGUUGGAAUAAAUAAGCAUACAGGGCCAGCCUCUGAAUUUAUUAAUGCAAAAAUUAUUGCAGGGCAAUGAUACGAUAAGAUAGCUCUAUUAUUAGAAGCAAUGGAUUAUAAAUCAGAAUAUAAUCCUGUUUCUUAGUUAUGUUUCAGCUGAGGGUCCCAGUUUUCGUUGCAGAGAAGGGAAGAGAAACUGAAGAACACUUAAGAAGUGGUUGGUGUUUUGAGGGCUCUGGAGGAAAUCACUGCCUCACAGGGAUUUAAUGUGGAUGUCAAUCUACCCUCACAACGCAGUCGCUAGAGGAUAAAAAAACAGCCUACCAGUCUGAAGUGUUGCAUCAAUGAUUUUGAAAACUUGUCUUAUAUAUGGGUUAGGAUUAAUAUUCAUGUCAUCAUUUUUCUCCAUGCAGGCAAAUGGACUCCAGUGCUAUGGCUGCAACAUUAUCAUGGGGAGGAAGUAUGUGGAUGUUGGCUGCUCCAAUCCUGAGGUCAUCACAUGUUCUCAUUCACAUAAAGGAUUCAAGCAUCGCUUCUGCAUUAAAACAGAGAGCACAGCCCUAGGAAUCGUCCUGACCAGCGGCUGUGCCACCUCUCGGCACUGUCACCAGCAGGAGCUCCCGGGGGUGAGGAUCCACUGCUGUGAAUCUGACCUCUGCAACAGCGCCCUGUGGUCCAAAGCAGCUUUGCUCCCAUAUCCCUGUGUGAUAAUGAGCCUCCUGAUAGUUUGGUUUCAAUUAUGAAACAAAAGCAAAUUCUGGAUGCCAGCGUAAUGAAAUACCCAAACCAACAGGUUUUGACGCCUGACUGAUAGAGGGAAUCACCACUGGAUUGUGUGUCAGCAUCCUUUUCAAAAUAAUGCAGAUGAUAAAGUUUCAUUACUAGGAAUUGCCAAAUUACCCUCCUUUAUUCUUUGUAGUGAAUAUCUUAAUUAUAAUAUCAAGGAGAUGAAGGCACACUGUUUAGAAAAGCCCAGUAGAGUCCUGUGGCAGCCAAUGAGUGGAUGCCCUGACUCACCAGGCUUCCUUGCAACUACAGUAACUCAUGGAUUUUGUGAUUACACUCCUUCCCUUACUAUCAAGAAGUCUAGUCAAUCUUAAAAACAUAAAAUAAUCCAAUCUAAAAAUUGGAGAGCUGUGAUAAAAUCUACAAGAUUUUUUUUAAAGUAGAGCCACAAGACCUUGUAACAUUUCUGUGAAGAAUAGUCUUGGAAAACUGAUGUACAGAUUUCACUGUAGUGCAUGGUACCUAAUCAACCUAAUUUAUUUACUGAAACAGAUGGAAAAAAUGUCUUUUUACCCACAAUCCUACCACAUAAGCCAAUAUCAAAUACACAGAGAAACCCCUUUCUAGUGUAUAAGAAGUGUUAGUAAUCAUGAUAAUUCACACCAAACCAGUAUUUUACCAUUGUUGAUGGUUGCCAAAUGUUUUAGCUGCAUUACUGAGAGGUUCAUGUCUUGAUCCUUGUUCAUUACAAAGUUAAUAACUGUAAUUUAUACUAGAAAAUAUACUGCUGAACAAUUUUAAGUCUAUAAGUAGGUGUGAGUAGUUCUUUAAUCACUAUUUCUUGUUGAAACAAAUUGUAGAUUCAGUGUUGAUUAAUGAUCUAAUGGAACACCCUUCCUUGCUAUUUUUUAAAUAGUAACUGAAUUCUAAUUUUCACUAGUAAAUAUUACUGUAGAUACUGUAUAUCAAAUUGUUUCACACAUAUGUGUUCUAAAAAUUUUAAUUAUUUACAUUUAUCAUAUAGGUACAAAUUACUUAAGUAAUAUGUUUCUUGCUCACUGAAUCAAUUAGAAAGGUGAAACAAAAUUGCAUCUCUCUAAAAGGAGUGUGUUUUUAAAUUUGACAGGUGCCAACAGUACACAGAUGUUCCUGCUGUUUAUUUGUAAAAUGUGUUAAUUGGGUACUGUAUUUUAUUAAUGAAACAAAAACAUCACACUUGUUAAGUAGCUCAUAAUAAUUUUUGUAAAUACACUUGAAGAAGUGUAAGGCAAAUAAAAUGGAAUAUAAGGUAUUAAAUUAUAACCCAGUGGUUGGGCAGGCUAUUGUAGCGCUCUCAGGUUCAUGUGGGUAUGCGCACUCGCCGCUGCCGCUGGGGACUGGAACCCGGGCCUCCGGCGUCACUCAACAGGGACCCAGCCAGCUGAGCUAAAGGGAAAGGCUAUUCACAGGGAAGGGCAGUGACGUCACCGUGCUGGUAAGCCGGCUCGAACAACCUGGAAUGUCGUCACCGCGCAAUAAUUCUUUGGGAUUUCCAGAUGCACUCCACUGCAUUUCUUGCAGGGGUUCAUCAAAUGACUUCAGAUGAAUGAUAGCAUGUUUUCUAUGAUUCAGUUGUAUUUUUUAUGCCCAUUUAAUGCUAGACACAAAACAAUUUUUUUAUUAUCUGUACUUACAAUAUCAGGGUAAUUUUAAUUAACUUGUAUAAAUAAAAUGAAAAAUAUGACAAAGCACAAUAAUGGUUUCUUGUAUAGCUCAAUAAAAGUGUGCAUUGAGAGCACAGGCUGAUUGUCCAAGGAGCAGCUAAAGUGCUUCAAGGGGUAGGGUUGUAUAGUUGGCUAAGGUUCUCUCUGCACAAAAGUGAGUCCUGCGAUUUGCCGGGCACCUGCAGGCCUGCAGUGAUGACAAUGAGGAGCAUACCAUUCAUCUAGUCUGCACUAAACCUCCUGUCGGAAGCUGUGAAGCUUGGGGAAUGUGAUAUGAAGAAUGGUUCAAUUGAUGGGUGGGUCUUAAGAGCCUGUCUGCCCAUCCUCAUUCUCUGUAGUACACUAUACACUGUAUGUGUUACAGGUGGAGCAAUUAAUUAAAUUGGAUUGAUAUACACAAUUCCUGGUGCUACUAUUUCUGUGAAAAAGAAAAUAAUCAUAUUGUUAAGCUUAUCAAUCCCCUUCAAUGUUUAGUUAUUUAAAACUGUCUAGAAAAGCUUUGUUUCUAAGCCUAAAGCUUGUCUCACCUUCAACACUAAUUACAGUGCACCCUUCACUGUAAAAUUAUUGAAAGCAGUGGCCUACAGUACAACCAAACAAAUUAUGAUAACAUUUGGUCCAAAGAAACAAUAUUCUGUUAUAUUCAGGCAAUAGUUUAAACAUAGAUAUUGAACACAAUGACACAAUUGUGAACAAAUCAUGUUUUUGGUAUUUAAUGUGACAGUUAAAAUUUAAAAAAAAGAUAAAAAUGAAUAUGAGUUUAAUCUCCUGCAGCAUUAACACAACCCUGGCAGAGCUGAUGCAUAGACCUGAUCAGCCUCAAGAUACAUGUGCUGUGGGAUGUUUUGCCACUGUUCUUGUGCAGCUGCAGACGUGCUGGCAAAGGACAAUACAGCAGCUCCAUAUGCAAUGUCAUCCAUCAGUGCAGUUAAGGGCGAAGCAAUAUUCCACAGUGAAUAAAAUGCUUCACCACUCUCUCUGUCAUCACCUCCAAUGUUGUCUUCUCUACAGAAGACAAUGAGCUGCAGUCAUUGUAUACAGUAGAUGUGCAGUUUAUUCCUUCCUGGAAUUUCUUUUUUUGUAGCCAAAUGUAAAAUGUGAAAAUAAUUCCACAAAUGGAUCAGACAGACGUGAUGGUUGGUGACCUUCUGUCUUCUAAGAUGAAGCACAUAACUGGUUUUCUUCUUUCUUGAGAUAUUGAUUCUUGAAAUAAAACAUCUCAUUUUCCAGGCAGCAUUUAUUCUGUCAUAGACUUUCUUCUAACAUAUCCAAAGCAACCAAGCAAUUUUCAUUAAACCAGAAGGGUAUAGUCAUUUCCCUGUUCUUAUAUUAAUUGCAUCCAGAUACUCAGGAAUGGUUAUUUAAACAGAUUCUUUAUUACUCAAUUUGGCAAUUUCAUGUCAGAUACCAUAUACUGGGAACCUGGUGUUUUGUGAAAUCACAUGACGUGGCCACAGUGUUUUGUUAUUCCUAGGAACUGCACUACUCUAGCAAUCAACAAACCUACAGUUCAUGUAAAUAACAUUGUGUAUGCUGUGCUCAAUGAGCUAUUGAUGUAAAAAUUAAACGGUUGUAUUUUCACCGAGUAUUUGUAUAUGAAAACAUAGAUGUAGUACUAAUGACACGUAGAAAUAAUGUGGUAUUUUAUUUUGGUUGUGUUGGAUUGUGAACAAACUCAACCUAAUCUCCAUAUACAGUAGUAUGCUUCUUUAGAAAAGAUGUAAAGUGGUCAAAUAAGUAAUGUAUUAUUUACAAUGUUCCAGUAAUUUCAGUCUUAUGUGGGAUUGACCUAUAUUAUAUAGUAACUCAGCUUAGAAAUAUAUCAUUAUUUUAUGCAGUCAGCUAUCAUUUGGUUUCACAUACAGUAAGUAUAUUGAUUAUGUAAUGUCAUAUGAAAGUGCUUUCUCUCUAGGAGAUAGAAUUUACUGAUUAAGAGAGAAUUUUCAUUAAACUAUUUUUAAAGAAGCGGCAAAUUUGUAUGUUUAUUAUUAUCUUUAAGGAUCUAAGAUUUUCUGUCCCCUUCUCUCUGCUUUUGUUACACAUCUCAAAAGGCAGAGGUUUUCAAAUACAGGACUAUUCAGUCUUCCACUCAUACUUUACCUUUGUUA